rnacentral:tmRNA from 1 species
GUCAUCAACACACACAGGUUAUAAUAACUGGCAAAUCAAACAAUAAUUUAGCAGUAGCUGCCUAAUCGCACUCUGCAUCGCCUAACAGCAUUUCCUAUGUGCUGUUAACGCGAUUCAACCUUAAUAGGAUAUGCUAAACACUGCCGUUUGAAGUCUGUUUAGAAGAAACUUAAUCAAACUAGCAUCAUGUUGGUUGUUUAUCACUUUUCAUGAUGCGAAACCUAUCGAUAAACUACACACGUAGAAAGAUGUGUAUCAGGAC